GAUGAAGAACGCAGCGAAAUGCGAUAAGUAAUGUGAAUUGCAGAAUUCAGUGAAUCAUCGAAUCUUUGAACGCAUAUUGCGCCCCUUGGUAUUCCGAAGGGCAUGCCUGUUCGAGCGUCAUGAUCAAACCUCAAGCCUUUGCUUGGUAUUGGGUCUUCGUCUCUCCUGUCGUUGUUACAGGCAUUGACGUGCCUGAAAGUCAAUGGCGGUGCCCCAAAUAGGCUCAAGCGAAGCAGACUGACUCGCUUUGGAGAACUUUUUGUGGGUACUGUUAAACAAAAUCAAGCUUCCGACCUCGGAUCAGGUAUGGGAUACCCGCUGAACUUAAGCAUAUCAAUAAGCGGAGGA
rnacentral:misc_RNA from 1 species